GGUCUCCAAUAGAGUUCCAUAUAGUGGCUUGUUUAAGAGAAAGCAAAGUGACAUCCCUCAACUAAUUCAUACAAUUGAGUAGAGAGAAUUCCAUUGAUUAGCAAAACUUUUUGUAGAGAGGUAUUGGAUUUUCCCAUUUUCAUUCACAAACUCAUAAAAAUUGAUUUGCAUGUCAAACAUGAACUUGAUCACAGUAUCUAGAUAAUUAAAAACAGGUUGAUGUCAGCUAAACUAAGAAAUCUGCAUCAG
rnacentral:misc_RNA from 1 species